rnacentral:rRNA from 1 species
UUGGAGGGCAAGUCUGGUGCCAGCAGCCGCGGUAAUUCCAGCUCCAAUAGCGUAUAUUAAAGUUGUUGCAGUUAAAAAGCUCGUAGUUGAGUUUCGGGGUCAGUAGGUUGGUCAUGCCACUGGUAUGUACUGGUCUCACUGAUUCCUCCUUCCUGAUGAACUGUAAUGCCAUUAAUUUGGUGUUGCAGGGAGUCUGGACUGUUACUUCGAAAAAAUUAGAGUGUUUAAAGCAGGCUAACGCCCGAAUACAUUAGCAUGGAAUAAUGAAAUAGGACGUUCGAUCCUAUUUUGUUGGUUUCUAGGAUUGACGUAAUGAUUAAUAGGGAUAGUUGGGGGCAUUAGUAUUCAAUUGUCAGAGGUGAAAUUCUUGGAUUUAUUGAAGACUAACUACUGCGAAAGCAUUUGCCAAGGAUGUUUUCAUUAAUCAAGAACGAAAGUUAGGGAAUCGAAGACGAUCAGAUACCGUCGUAGUCUUAACCAUAAACUAUGCCGACUAGGGAUCGGAUGACGUUAAUUUUUUAAUGACUCAUUCGGCGCCUUACGGGAAACCAAAGUGUUUGGGUUC